rnacentral:rRNA from 1 species
UACAGAGGAGCCAAGCGUUGUCCGGAUUGACUGGGCGUAAAGCGCACGCAGGCGGCACCGCGCGUGGGGUGUGAAAUCUGGCCGCUUAACGGCCAGGCGCCAUCCCAUACGGCGGAGCUGGAGUGAUGCAGAGGUCGAUGGAAUUGCCGGUGUAGUGGUGAAAUGCGUAGAGAUGUGGAGGAACACCGAUGGCGAAGGCAGCCUCCUGGGCCAAUACUGACGCUCAUGCACGAAAGCGUGGGGAGCAAACAGG